UACAGAGACUGCAAGCGUUAUUCGGAUUCACUGGGCGUAAAGGGUGCGCAGGCGGCCAAGUGUGUUAGGCGUGAAAGCCUGAGGCUUAACCUCAGAAUUGCACCUAAAACUACAUGGCUAGAGCAUUGGAGAGGGUAGCGGAAUUCACGGUGUAGCAGUGAAAUGCGUAGAUAUCGUGAGGAACACCAGAGGCGAAGGCGGCUACCUGGACAAUUGCUGACGCUCAGGCACGAAAGCAUGGGGGAGCGAACGGG
rnacentral:rRNA from 1 species